UCCACAGGUGAACAUAGCUUUGAAAUAAGGGCUAAAUGCAGCCAGGACCAGUCUGUGGCAAGGAAAUUUCUCUCCUUCUGCUGAGUUGCAGAAAAAGAGGGAUGCAAGUGGGGAAGGAUGACAAGGAGUUUCAACUGUAUAAAUGUUUAAUUUCUCCAGCUGUUUGAUGCUUGCCUCUCCUGUCAAUGAUGAGCACACUGCGGGUUGGGAGAAGAACAAUCACCAAAAAUGCAGAGUGGGGAGCGGGCCUGAGUGUUGGACCUCUCCUUAAACAAACCUUCCUGCAGCCUCCAGGUCACCAUCCUUGUCACCUCUACUGCCAGAGACAUCGAGUGCCUUGAAGUCCUGGGCUUUCCGGGGAUUCUGUGGGGUAUUUCCAGUGAAGUCCCACUCUCCUCAACCCUCAGAGGAUCUCUGGAAGGCCACACAGAACCUGGGACAGGAACCAAGGCACAGGGAUGGGAUGGAGACUCACAAUUCACUGUUAACAUUUUGAUUCUCAUUUGAAUUUUUAACACACGCAUCUAUCACUUAAAUUAAUAGUAAUGAAAUUUUAUUGCACUCUUCUUACCAAGUGCCAGGCAUUGUGCUAAGUACUUGACCAACGUUAUUCCAUUCAGUCCCAUGAAAUAGGCAAUAAUCUUAAUUCCCAUUGUUUCAUAUAGAUAUAAAGAGGGUAAGUCACAUGCCCAAGAUCAUGUAGUUAAACAUUAGCCGAGCUGGUAAUUGAACCCAGGCUGUCUGCCUCAAAUGCCCAUAGUCCUUGCCACUGCACUCUUGCCUUUUCUGCACAGAAGAUAUCUUGAAAGGGUUAUCUACACUUGCUGUCUCCACUUAUUGUCCACUCACUUCAUACAUAAGCACAAGCUGGCCUCUACCCUGAUUAAUCCAUGAACUGGGUUCUCUCCAGGGUCAAAAAUGACCUUGUCAUUAAGUCAAUUGCACAUUUCUCAGUUUGUCUUUUGCUUGACUGCUGGGAGCUAUUAGACUCUUUUGGCCACAUAUUCUUCUUGGAAUAUGAUGCAACUUUGGAUUCUCUGCAAUCACACCUUCUGGAUCAUCCACCUCUGUCUCUAUCACCUUUGCAAACUCUUCUCCUCUUCACGAUGAUCUCUCCUAGGCCUGCUUAUCCUUCCAGUCUACAUCCCCUGAGCAAUUGAAUUCACUCCCAUGAUUUCAGUGAUAAUAAAUGGCCGACGGCUUCCAAA